rnacentral:rRNA from 1 species
AACGAACGCUGGCGGCAGGCCUAAAACAUGCAAGUCGAACGCGCCGCAAGGGGAGUGGCGCACGGGUGAGUAACGCGUGGGAACGUGCCCUUCACUACGGGACAACGUCGGGAAACUGACGCUAAUACCGUAUAAUGACUCCGGUCCAAAGAUUUAUCGGUGAAGGAGCGGCCCGCGUCUGAUUAGUUUGUUGGUGGGGUAAUGGCCUACCAAGACUACGAUCAGUAGCAGGUCUGAGAGGAUGAUCUGCCACACUGGGACUGAGACACGGCCCAGACUCCUACGGGAGGCAGCAGUUAGGAAUAUUGGACAAUGGGCGAAAGCCUGAUCCAGCCAUGCCGCGUGUGUGAUGAAGGCCUUAGGGUUGUAAAGCACUUUCGUUGGGGAUGAUAAUGACCGUACCCAAAGAAGAAGCACCGGCUAACUUCGUGCCAGCCGCCGCCGUAA